rnacentral:lncRNA from 1 species
GGUUUUUUUUAAUCAGAAUAACAGUUUUUGGAAUAGUGUUCUGUAUAUUGGACAGUUUACUGUUCUUUACAGUGUGGACAAAAGAAAGUAUCCCCUCUCCGUAAGACUCUAACAUCACUACAGAAUUGGAGAUGUGUCCAGUGACGGCAGUUAUCAUUGUCACAUUGUGCCCAUUUGACAAACACAAUUCCUGCUAGUUGUCUGAUCUCUGAGGGAGAUUUCU